rnacentral:rRNA from 1 species
GAUGAACGCUGGCGGCGUGCCUAAUACAUGCAAGUCGAGCGAACAGACGAGGAGCUUGCUCCUCUGACGUUAGCGGCGGACGGGUGAGUAACACGUGGAUAACCUACCUAUAAGACUGGGAUAACUUCGGGAAACCGGAGCUAAUACCGGAUAAUAUAUUGAACCGCAUGGUUCAAUAGUGAAAGACGGCUUUGCUGUCACUUAUAGAUGGAUCCGCGCCGCAUUAGCUAGUUGGUAAGGUAACGGCCUACCAAGGCAACGAUGCGUAGCCGACCUGAGAGGGGGAUCGGCCACACUGGAACUGAGACACGGUCCAGACUCCUACGGGAGGCAGCAGUAGGGAAUCUUCCGCAAUGGGCGAAAGCCUGACGGAGCAACGCCGCGUGAGUGAUGAAGGUCUUCGGAUCGUAAAACUCUGUUAUUAGGGAAGAACAAAUGUGUAAGUAACUAUGCACGUCUUGACGGUACCUAAUCAGAAAGCCACGGCUAACUACGUG